rnacentral:sRNA from 2 species
UGGCCUUCGGGCCUUCUGGCAUUUUCCCCUUCCCGGCUCCUGGCUUGCACCCCUGCUCAUGGCUAGCAGCGGCAUAUCAUCGGUAGUCGACCUGCCCAGCGAGGUCACGGAUGGGCAUUCGCUGUAUUAGUUUGGUUUGCCGCACCGCUCCCUCUUGAAGCUGGAAUCACCCAAUUCCACUAUUUUUGACAAUCCCCGUCUGUUCCAUUAUUAUAUGUCGCACAAGAUAUCAUCUCUGUCUUGAACUUUGAGCUGGGUUAGGGGGAAAGAGGUCUUCCAACAUGUGAAAUCGAGUGGCUGAGAUGGAAAGCCACCAACCAAUGUUCAUUCUGCGCACCCGUUUGCAGCACAGCAUGCGGAACAAUACCAUGGCAGUACGUACGAGGUACGA